rnacentral:rRNA from 1 species
GACGUAGGGGGCGAGCGUUAUUCGGAAUUAUUGGGCGUAAAGAGCUCGUAGGCGGUCUGUUGCGUCCGCUGUGAAAACUCGGGGCUUAACCCCGAGCCUGCAGUGGAUACGGGCAGACUAGAGGUAGGUAGGGGAGAAUGGAAUUCCCGGUGUAGCGGUGAAAUGCGCAGAUAUCAGGAGGAACACCGGUGGCGAAGGCGGGUCUCUGGGCCGAUAUUGACGCUGAGGAGCGAAAGCGUGGGGAGCGAACAGG